GGCCAAAAAAACAAGAUAGUGAUGGCCAAAAACCAAGAUGGCGACGGCCAAGAACCGACAUGGCGACGGCCAACAACCAACAUGGCGACGGCCAACAACCAACAUGGCUACGGCCAAAAACCAACAUGGCGACGGGCCAACAACCAAAAUGGUAAUCGCCAAAAACCAAAAUGGUAAUCGCCAAAAACCAACAUGACUAUGGCCAAAAACCAACAUGGCGAAAGCCAAAAACCAACAUGGCAACGGGCCAACAACCAAAAUGGUAAUCGCCAAAAACCAACAUGGCGAAAGCCAAAAACCAACAUGGCAACGGGCCAACAACCAAAAUGGUAAUCUCCAAAAACCAACAUGGCGAAAGCCAAAAACCAACAUGGCAACGGGCCAACAACCAAAAUGGUAAUCGCCAAAAACCAACAUGGCGAAGGCCAAAAACCAACAUGGCGAAGACCAAAAACCAACAUAGCGAAGGCCGAAAACCAACAUGGCGACGGCCAAAAACCAAGUUGGCGCCAGCCAAAAACCAGGAUGGCAAUGGCUAAAGAAUGAAAGAAAACAAAAGUUUUCCUGUUUAAUUCCAUUCUUAUUUUAAAUUCAUUGGAUUAAACAUUGUCUGUUUAUAGAUGUUGUUAUUUGUUUUAUUAUAUUUAUGUUUUGUCAUUCAGUUUAUUCUGUUUUUAAUAUGUUUGAUGUCUAUGUGUGAGUUUUGCUGACAUGGAAAAUAAACAAUUCUUUGUUAGU